GGACUCUUCGUUCUGGUUCUGCUAGCUGUACUUCUUGCCAUCUCCUUUUGGGUCAGUAGGAAGAGCACAAAGAGAGGUGGAAAAAGACAUCAAGAACAUUGCGUCUUCUUGGAGAAGGACAGGAACAUUUAUGGGUCACCUCCCCAGGAGGAGGACAGCGAAAUCCAUUACGCCUCCCUUUGUCACCAAAACUCGAGGGACGGACCCCAUGAGCACGAGGAACAGCGCGUCAUUUACUCCAUCGUGAGGGGAGUAACAGGCCAGGUCACUGGCUGAAGUCUGUCCUGCUGAGAUACAUCACUUCUGGUGUCUUAUUUCCAGUCCUGCUGACGCAUCAGCAGCUGUCAAAGCUCUUUCUAAAGAAUUCAAGCUAAACUGAAAGUGAUUUCCUACUGUGUGUAUUUUCCUUCUGUUCAUGUCAUUGGCAGCAGCUUGGAAAACAUGGAAAAAAAAUAUUUAUAGUAAUAUGAAUCAUUACUACGGAAAGGUAACAAAACAUUAUAGAGAUAAAAAUAAAUCACUCGCAAAACACUG